UACGAAGGGGGCUAGCGCUGCUCGGAAUCACUGGGCGUAAAGGGUGCGUAGGCGGGUCUUUAAGUCAGGGGUGAAAUCCUGGAGCUCAACUCCAGAACUGCCCUUGAUACUGAGGAUCUUGAGUUCGGGAGAGGUGAGUGGAACUGCGAGUGUAGAGGUGAAAUUCGUAGAUAUUCGCAAGAACACCAGUGGCGAAGGCGGCUCACUGGCCCGGUACUGACGCUGAGGUGCGAAAGCGUGGGGAGCAAACAGG
rnacentral:rRNA from 1 species